UACGUAGGGUGCAAGCGUUGUCCGGAAUUAUUGGGCGUAAAGGGCGCGUAGGCGGCAAUUCAAGUCAUCUGUGAAAUCUCCGGGCUUAACCCGGAACGGUCAGAUGAUACUGCUUUGCUGGAGUGCGGAAGGGGCAAUCGGAAUUCUUGGUGUAGCGGUGAAAUGCGUAGAUAUCAAGAGGAACACCUGAGGUGAAGACGGGUUGCUGGGCCGACACUGACGCUGAUAGCGCGAAAGCCAGGGGAGCAAACGGG
rnacentral:rRNA from 1 species